GGGGGGGGGGGGGGGGGGGGUGAGGGGGGGCGGGGCGGACGGAGGGGGCCGGCUUGUGGGGGGGGCUCGAGUGGCGAACGGGUGAGUAACACGUGAGUAACCUGCCCUUGACUUUGGGAUAACUUCAGGAAACUGGGGCUAAUACCGGAUAGGAGCUCCUGCUGCAUGGUGGGGGUUGGAAAGUUUCGGCGGUUGGGGAUGGACUCGCGGCUUAUCAGCUUGUUGGUGGGGUAGUGGCUUACCAAGGCUUUGACGGGUAGCCGGCCUGAGAGGGUGACCGGCCACAUUGGGACUGAGAUACGGCCCAGACUCCUACGGGAGGCAGCAGUGGGGAAUAUUGCACAAUGGGCGGAAGCCUGAUGCAGCAACGCCGCGUGCGGGAUGACGGCCUUCGGGUUGUAAACCGCUUUCGCCUGUGACGAAGCGUGAGUGACGGUAAUGGGUAAAGAAGCACCGGCUAACUACG
rnacentral:rRNA from 1 species